UUCUCCAACAACUGAAUUCAUUCAAACUUAAAUUUGUUUAUAUAUGUCCACAUUAUCCAAACAAUCCAUGGAAAAGACUUAUCUAAUCCCUCCUGGCAAUCUUCUUUAUCAUUCGAGAUGCUUAACAAGUGAUGCAAAUUAUUGUACAACGAGUCCAAUCAUCCGUAUUCCAGAGAAGAAAUGUUCGAUAAAGGCAAAGCUCACACUUGUCUGGUCAGAAGACAUUAAAAAAGAGCAAGUGAUUCACAAUUUCCACUUUGCAUCCACAUUGACAUAACUGUCAUCCUAAUUCCACUAUUUCUGUAAGCUUAGAGAUGUUGAAUCGUUUUGCUUUUGCAUCCACAUAAACACCGUAUCAUUUCACUUUUUUUUUUUAAAAAAUUUUAAUCAAUACUUUGAUGCGUUUUUCUUUGUAUGAAAUCCUUUUAAACAUUGCAUUAUGUGAAAUUAGUUUGCAUAAAAUUACAAAGUGAUCAAAUGAAAUAUAUUUAAUUGAUUUUGAGUGACUUAAAAGUGGAGAAACCCACAAGAUGUCACAAUACUUCUCGUUCAAGUUUGAGGACCGCCAUGAAAGCUUCUUGAGGGACGUCAACUCUACCUAUGGCUUUCAUUCUCUUCUUACCUGCCGCCUGUUUGACACAACAACACAUUUUAAGGAACGCAGAAACCGCUGAAGAUACAAUCAUGAAAUCAAGAUAUACCUGUUUCUUAAGAAGCUUCUUCUUCCGAGAAAUAUCUCCACCUGAAUGAAUCAUAGUAACAAGAUCAGAUAUGGCUUUGUGGGAACAAACACGUCAAAGAGAAAACUAUUUCAUUCUCUGUGUCUGAAUCCAGUUGUGCAAGAAAGAGCCUUUAGAAGAAGUUUCCGAUAAUACAAGAGCUUACACUAAAACGGUUAAUGAGUUUCGAUAUCAAGUCAGCUGGUGAUUAUUUCAUGCUUUUAUGAAAGGAGGAAGGGAAGCAAUGGAAUGUGUACUUACCAUAACAUUUUGCCAAAACAUCUUUUCUGAUUGCUGAGAGUGCUUCACUAGCAAUCACCUUGGAUCCUAUACAAGCCUGUAAGUAUAUGUAUAUGUCAAAACAUCUUCCGUGGUUUUUAUAUUACUAUAUUCUAAGGGCAUUGUCAGAUAACCAAGCAGGAACACAGUUCAUCAGACCCAUCUGAUCACAAGUAAGUUUUAUAAGCUCAGAAGGAGAAGACUUAAGAUCCAAUCCAUCUUAUGUGCCUCAGGCCCUAGGAGUUAGAUUUAGAAUCUUCAAGCAUUCGUAGAAAUGUAAGUUAUUUGGAAGAGAACUCUCUAGCAAAUUAUUUUCAAAAGCUUGGAAAUGCAGAUAUAUACCUGGAUGGGCACUUUAAACAUUUGUCGUGGAAUAAGCUCUUUGAGUUUUUGAGUCAAAGCUCUCCCAACAGAAUAUGCCUGGAAGUACAGUACAAAACGAUUCCACAAUACUGUGAGGACAAGACUCUAAUAUAACCCAAUGCUAAAUCCUGAGAGAUGUACUAAUCUCGGCAGUGAGAGCUUUAAGCUAAUGGGAACAGUUCCACAAAACUUCACAAUCAGAAACGUGUGAAAGAUAGUUAGCAGUGCCUUUUGUUUCCAUCAAUCUACUUGUCAAACUUAUUCGGCAAGUGAAAUUGUAUAAUUGCGAUUGCUGAACCAAUUAUUUCUAUUCAGGUAUAAGAGUGUGUAUGUAUGCUAUGUUCAGAUUAAAGAGCUUAAGCAAAAAUAACCUUGUCUCUGUGUACGAUGGUUGACAAAGGUUCCACCAUUUCAGCAUUAAUCAGAAUAUCGAGUUUUAUCAGAUCGCUUUCCCUGUACCUGCACACAUAUUUCAAGAAACAAAAAAACUAGUUGAAUAUCUUAAGAUGCUAAGAAAAUAAAUCAAAAAGAGCAAAGGGAACAUAUAUGUAUUAAGCUUAUAUGGAAAUUGAAGAAACCGAGCUUCCUUCUGUUCCAAUCAUAUAGUUUAGUCAACCUGAAGAAGCUGACAGUAGUUAACUUGUACAAAGAAGGGCUACCAAAUUUUACGUAGAGAGCAACACGAUAAUUAACCUGAUUGAAACUGAUCUGAUGGUGCUAAGAAUAUAUAUUACAGAUUACUUGGGAUUACUAAGAAAAGAAUAUAGAUUCUUAUCUUUAAGAAAAUCUGACGCAUUUCUUAGUUAAUCAACUAAAAUAGAAGACAUGCAUCAGAAAUUAAGAGAAAGAUCUGUGCAUCAAAGUUGAAAGAACUAACCCAAUAACUGAGUAUUCCAUGCUAGCAUAUCCCUUGGUUCUCGACUUCAAUUGGUCAAAGAAAUCUCCCACCAUCUGCAAAAAGGUAGGGAGAAAUUAUUUAGAAGAUCAGUUAACAUAAAUAAGAAAGACAUGUCUAAACUUUCAUUGGGGUUAUCUUAACUCUGCACAAGCAGAAAACUCACCUCUGCAAGAGGUAACUCAUAGAGGAUCGAAGCUCUGUUCUCAGCUAUAUAUUUCAUUUCUUUGAACUCCCCUCUCCUCUCUUGGGCGAGCUCCAUAAGCGCACCGAUAUAGUCUUUUGGUGUAAGCAGCUCAAUCUGUAUAAUACCGGUUUGCAGUAAGGAAAUGUAAUUCUACGAAAUGUGGGGUGUGAACUUAUCAGCAAUAACUAUGCAGCAGAAAAGGUAACCUUAACAUAUGGCUCCUCGACCGAUUUCCUUUGCCCAGGAUCUGGAAGGCGUGAUGGAUUUGAGCACAAAGUCUGCAGUAAAAUUUAUCACAGGUAAUAAGGCUAUAGAUAUCAAGAAAGAAGCACAAAAGGAUGCAAUUUUCAGGGAACAAAGAAGAAUAUUUAAAAGUGUAGGAUCAAGAGGAAAUUACAGUAUCACCAUUUACAGAGUUCACCCUAUAAACAACACUUGGAGCUGUGGUAAUAAGAUUUAAGUUGUACUCCCUCUCUAGCCUUUCCUGUGAAGAAGAAUGAACUGGAGGGUAAGAGUGAAGAAUGAUAUAAUUCACUUUGUGGAGUAUAAUUUAUGGCGGCAUCAAUCGGGGUGGAAACUGUAAAUAUGUAGAAUACUAACAGAUAACUCAGUAUAUAUGAAUUUUUUUUGUCUAUCUUCUGUUAUCAGCAUAGGAAAUUUUCAUUCAGAGACGUACCAAAAACAUUUUAAAACAAGAAGAGCAAAACAUAUCUUACCUGCACAAUUUCCAUGUGUAGAAGACCCAAAAAGCCGCAUCUAAAGCCAAAACCCAUGGCACUUGAAGUUUCAGGCUCAAACUGCAGGAUAAAGACCAAGAUGAGGACAAGCCUAUAGAUGAAUUAAUGCUACGCUCCUUAGACCAAAUGUGAAUACUUUUAACAAAGAUAUAUACAAUAGAGGACUGAAAUCCCUAGACCAGUUCUUUGCAAAACAAAACUUUACUUUUCAAUUAGCAUACUGAGCCUAAAAAUAUAUUGGCCAAGUAAGCAUACGGAGAUCAUAGUUUUUUUCGUCCGUGCAAAUUAUUCUGGGUACAGACGAAAGAAAAAUGUUGUUUUCUGUCAUUUUAUUCUACUAUACCUUCAGUGCAGCAUCAUUGAGUUGCAAUUUUUCCAAUGCAUCGCGAAGAUCGGGAAACCUGCCAUCAUAGAUUAAGUGUGAAAAAAUAUAAAAAAUUAAAAAGCAAAAAGUCAACAAACAAAAGCAAAAACUCAGUACUGGUCAGCGUCAACUGGAAAUAGGCCACAAAACACCAUAGGGGUAGCUUCCUCGUAACCAGGUAAAGAGCUUUCUGCCUUUCUGCUAUAAUGUGUUAUUGUAUCUCCUACCCUGGCAUCUGCAACAGAUCUUACAGAAGCC
rnacentral:lncRNA from 1 species